GAACUAUAGAAUAAGAGAGCAUAUCCGCUGAAUUUAAGCAUAUAAUUAAGCGGAAGAAAAGAAAAUAACAAUGAUUCCUUUAGUAACGGCGAGUGAACAAGGAAAAGCUCAAAAGGAAAAUCCGCGCGUGGCGAAAACUACGGUGUGGAAUUGUCUGGUUGGGGUUUAAUAUUCUCCCUAUGCUUUGUUAGGUUACGAAAUUAGUAGGAAUACUAUUCCAUAGAGGGUGAAAGGCCCGUAGUUCCCUACAAUUAUAGAUGGAGUAUUCCCUGUUUUUUUGUUCUCCUCGACACCGGAGCGCCGAUCUGCGUGUUUAUUUGUCCCGUGAGGACUGAUGGGUCGAUGCACUGUCCCCAGCGACACCCGGCCGUUGUGGGCCCCCCCCCCUCGAGCGCUCAACCCCCCCCUCGCGCGCCCCGCUUGGCAUCCAGGGGGUGCCCCUGGCGCGCCCUGUUGGGGCCCCCGCGAGCCGGGCCGCAACGCGGGGGCCCCCGUCCCUCGCGCGUAGGUCUCCAACUACCCGGCACGUCCGCCGGGGCUGGGGGCGGCAGGGGUGGCUGAUCCUGGCGCAGGGUGCGGGGCGAUGGUGGAGAGGGCAGUGGGGGGCUGCGGGACCUCACUCUGGCUGUGGGCGACCCCCCGACCGGUAGCCGGCUGCAACCGGCGCGCGCGGGGCUUGCGGCUCCAACCGCAUGCCCCAUCCCUCCCCUCCACGUGCCGCGGAG
rnacentral:ncRNA from 1 species